rnacentral:rRNA from 1 species
UGAGGAACCCACCCCGGAGACCGGGAUAACCCUCCGAAAGGAGAGCUAAUACCGGAUGUCCUCAUCGGAUCGCAUGUUCUGAUGAGGAAAUGGAUUCCGCUCCGGGACGGCCUCGCGGCCUAUCAGCUAGUUGGUGAGGUAACGGCCCACCAAGGCGACGACGGGUAGCUGGUCUGAGAGGACGAUCAGCCACACUGGGACUGAGACACGGCCCAGACUCCUGCGGGAGGNAG